rnacentral:misc_RNA from 1 species
AAAAGCCAGAAGAAAUAGUGAAGAUGACCAUAAUUCAAGUUGUCAGGUAUCCAACCAGGCCUGCCAUUUCUAGUACUCACAUCACUGACAAUAUUUACUAGGAGUGUACUCAAGUAGUUCCCAAGUGCAGCAGUUGUGAGUGAUAGAGCAGAACACAGGCUUCUUAUGGCAUCAGGUGCCUGCUCAUAAAAGAACUCCAGUUGCCCAAUGAAAGUGAAA